rnacentral:tRNA from 1 species
CAUGGAGAAGCUCAGCGGUCGAGCGCCCGGCUGAAGACCGGGCGGGCGCGGGUUCGAAUCCCGCCUCCAUGC